UAAUCUUUUUCCACUGCACGUACAUUCGCUAUAUUCCUGGUGAAUUUUCCGGCGAUACCAACAAGUCUCCAGGGAAAAAUUUUAAACAAAUGACAGCUGCAUAGUAACGACUACUACAACGAUGACGGUAGUGACGAUACGAUGGCAAAAUAGACAGGUUCUCAAUGGACCAGUGAUCAUAAUAAAAGUACGGGAAUUUACAAUUUGUGUU